AUUGGAUGCAAAGUUUGGAAUCAAAAUGUCAUACUUUGGAACAUGAAGGACUUGAAUUGAAUCAAGUAAUACAUGGGUUGCAACAAAUUAAUUGGGCUGCUAGGUUUUAUGUUUAUAUAUAUAUAUAUAUGCUACAGCCAACGGAAGGGAAAGAGAAAAGAAAAAGAAGCAUCCCAUCAAUCUUUAAAUACACACACAGAGAGAGAAGGAAUUGAGAUUCUGCUGGGAGAAAUUGGCGUGCUACAAUUGAAUUUGAUAAAUAUACAUACCACAGAAAGCACCAGCAAGAGGCAUAGAAUUGGAGUCCCUUUUUCUCUUUAGUCAAACAUUGCGGCUGCAUACUAAAAUUGGGAGGUUAGAAUCUAUUAUUCAAGGUAGCCAAUAUACACGUGCAGAGAAGAGAAAAUUUUGGCCAGCUAGCUGCUAUUAUAUAAUUAGAUACACACAGUAAUUGGAGCAGCUUUGGGGCUAGAAUUGAAUUGUGGAAUUAACAACGAAAGGGGGCAACUUUGGACACACAUGGACGUUGGGGGGUAGUGCUGGGGCUGAAAACUAAGGAAUUAAUAUAUACAAGCAGAGAUGGUAGAACAGUUUUCAAAGCUUACGCAGUAAUUUGUCAACAAUUUGUGCAAGGAAUUACAUUUCGUCAAUUUAUUGGUGAUGUCCUUCCACCUUCAUUUGUUUAAUUCCAACAUUAUGCUAAGCUAAAUUUUUAUUGUUAGGAGGUGAUGAACCCUAAUUAUGAAUUUGUAGUUAAUAAUUAGAUUGGCG
rnacentral:lncRNA from 1 species